CCUGAAGAUUUGGUCGCAAGGACCCGCUCUUUCCCACCCUUUUGUUUACCAUACCAUGUUGCUUUUGGGCGAGUCGCCCCUAGGCCCACCGGCCUUUCGGGCUUGGUGGCGUGCCUCGCCCAGAGGACCCUCAAACAAACCUGAUUUUUUGUGUUUUGUCUGAAACAAACUUUUUAAAAUUAUUUAAA
rnacentral:misc_RNA from 1 species